rnacentral:lncRNA from 1 species
UUUAUUUUUGAAUAAGGCACAUAUCACCUCUGGUGAAAUCAUUAUAACUGACUGUCAAUAAUGUUCAAGAAGACAGAAUUUUAAUACAUACCAAAUGGCACCCCUUGGGGAGGGGGUGGGUGUGGAAAAAAAGCUAACCAAGAACUUAGAUGUACAUAUAUUCACAAUGAUGAUUACCCAGCAGGAAUAUCUUAGAACAAGGCUGCUUGCUGUGACCAUAAAAAUUAACGAUAUUAUGUUCUUUGCAGCAACAUGGAUAGAGCUGGACAACAUUAUUCUAAGAAUACUAAUGCAGUAACAGAAAACCGAACACUGCAUGUUCUCAUUUACAAGUGGGAGCUGAACAUUGAGUACACAUGGACACAAAGAAGGGACCAAUAGACACCAUGGCAUACUUGAGGGCGGAGGGUGGGAGGAGGGUGAAGACCGAAAAAUAACCUAUUAGAUACUAUGCUUAUUACCUGGGUGAUGAAAUAAUAUGUACGCCAAAUCCCCCACAACAUGUAAUAACCUGCACAUGUACCCCUGAAACUAAAAGUUAAAAAUAUAAUUACUACUAUUUUAAAGUAUCUAGGUGCUCUGAAAUAUACAAAACACAGAUAGCACCUGCACUUAAGGAAAUCAUAAUUGAAUUCACGAGGCAAGGGAUACAUAAGCCAAAUUUAAAGAAAAUAAAGCAAAGAAAAUAUAGUGAAUUAAAAGGCAAUUGACUUAUUGUGGUGCAAUACAAUGACAACCACAGAAGCUUACAGCAGGUCAUGAUGCAGGAACAUGACAGAGGAGGGGGCUGUAUUGCAGCUAUGGCUGUGCAUCACAUUUGGGGUGAGGAACCAACACUUUGGCAUGUGAGUCAAGAUCUCACCAUCUAGUCCUAGUGAAUACUCUAAUAUAUUAUAUAUUUCAUACAUUAUGUAGGCUAUUUAGUAUAUAGCAUAUAACACAACUUUUAUGAUAUAUGUUAUAUAGGCUCUAUAGAAUACAGCAUAUAAUACAACUUUCAUUAUAUGCAAUAUAUGUUAUAUUACAUUUGAACUAGGUGUGUAAUACAAUAUAUGAUAAAUUAUAUGCUUUUCAUGAAUCAUUAUAUAAUUAUGUAUUAGCCCGUUUUCAUGUAGCUGAAAAAUACAUACCCCAAACUGGGUAAUUUAUAAAGAAAGAGAGCUUUAAGGGACUCACAGUUUUAUAUGGCUGGGGAGGCCUCACAAUCAUGGUGGAAAGUUAAAGGUACAUCUCACAUGGCAGCAGGCAAGAGAGAGAAUGAGAGCCAAGCAAAAGGGUUUUCCUCUUAUAAAACCAUCAGAUCUCAUGAGAUUUAUUCACUACCACGAGAAAAGUAUGGGAGAAAACAUCCCUGUGAUUCAAUUACCUUCCACUGGGUUCCUCCCACAACUUGUGGGGAUUAUGGAAGCUACAAUUCAAGAUAAGAUUGGGUGGGGAAACAGUUAAACCAUAUAAUUCCACUCCUGCCCCCUCCCAAAUCUCAAGUCCUCACAUUUCAAGCCACUUAGUUACUUCCUAGAUACAAUGGGGGUAUGGGCAUUGGAUAAAUACAGCCGUUCCAAAUGGGAGAAAUUGCCCAAAACAAAAGAGCUACAAGGCCCAUGCAAGUCUGAACUCCAGCAGGACAGCCAAAUCUUAAAGCUCUGAAAUGAUCUCUUUUGACUCCAUGUAUCACAUCCAGGUCACGCUGUUGUGAGAGGUGGGCUCACAUUGUCUUGGGCAGCUCCGACCCUGUGGCUUUACAGGGUACAGCCCCUGUGCCCAGCUGCCUUCAUGGGCUAGCUAGCACUGGGUGUCUGUGGCUUUUCCAGGUGCACUGUGAAAGCUGUUGAUGGAUCUACUAUUCUGGGGUCUGGAGUACAGUGACCCUCUUUUCACAGCUCCACUAGGCAAUGCCCCAGUGGGGACUCUGUGUGAGGCUCCAACCCCAUAUUUCCCUUCCACACUGCCCUGGCAAAGGUUCUCCAUGAGGGCCCUGUCCCUGCAGGAAACUUCUGACUGGACAUCCAGGCAUUUUCAUACUUCCUCUGUAAUCUAGGCAGAGGUUCCCAAACCUUAACUCUUCACUUCUGUGCACUCGCAGGCUCAACACCAUGUGGAAGCUGCCAAGGCUUGGGGCUUCCACCCUCUGAAGCCACAACCUGAGCUGUACCUUGGCCCCUUUUAGCCAUGGCUAGAGUGGCUGGGAUGCAGGGCACCAAGUCCCUAGGCUGCACAUGGCAGGGGUCCCUAGGCCCAGCCCAUGAGACCAUUUCUUCCUCCUAGGCCUCUGGGUCUGUGAUGGGAGGCACUGCUGCAAACAUCUCUGACAUGUCCUGGAGACACUUUUCCCAUUGUCUUGGGGAUUGACAUUCAGCUCCUCAUUACUUAUGCACAUUACUUCAGCGGGCUUGAAUUUCUCCUCAGAAAAUAGAUUUUCCUUUUCUAUCACAUCAUCAGGCUGCAAAUUUUCUGAAUUUUUAUGCUGUUUUCCUUUUAAAACCAAAUGCUUUUAGCAUCACCUAAAUCAUAUCUUGAAUGCUGUGCUGCUUAGAAAUUUCUUCCGCCAGAUAUCCUAAAUAA